UGCAGUCGAGCGGACCUCUUCGGAGGUCAGCGGCGGACGGGUGAGUAACACGUGGGCAACCUGCCUGUAAGACUGGGAUAACUCCGGGAAACCGGAGCUAAUACCGGAUACUAUGUCAAACCGCAUGGUUUGACAUUCAAAGACGGUUUCGGCUGUCACUUACAGAUGGGCCCGCGGCGCAUUAGCUAGUUGGUGAGGUAAUGGCUCACCAAGGCGACGAUGCGUAGCCGACCUGAGAGGGUGAUCGGCCACACUGGGACUGAGACACGGCCCAGACUCCUACGGGAGGCAGCAGUAGGGAAUCUUCCGCAAUGGACGAAAGUCUGACGGAGCAACGCCGCGUGAGUGAUGAAGGUUUUCGGAUCGUAAAACUCUGUUGUCAGGGAAGAACAAGUGCCGGAGUAACUGCCGGCACCUUGACGGUACCUGACCAGAAAGCCACGGCUAACUACGUGCCAGCAGCCGCGGUAAUACGUAGGUGGCAAGCGUUGUCCGGAAUUAUUGGGCGUAAAGCGCGCGCAGGCGGUUUCUUAAGUCUGAUGUGAAAGCCCCCGGCUCAACCGGGGAGGGUCAUUGGAAACUGGGAAACUUGAGUGCAGAAGAGGAGAGUGGAAUUCCACGUGUAGCGGUGAAAUGCGUAGAGAUGUGGAGGAACACCAGUGGCGAAGGCGACUCUCUGGUCUGUAACUGACGCUGAGGCGCGAAAGCGUGGGGAGCGAACAGGAUUAGAUACCCUGGUAGUCCACGCCGUAACGAUGAGUGCUAAGUGUUAGAGGGUUUCCGCCCUUUAGUGCUGCAGCUAACGCAUUAAGCACUCCGCCUGGGGAGUACGGUCGCAAGACUGAAACUCAAAGGAAUUGACGGGGGCCCGCACAAGCGGUGGAGCAUGUGGUUUAAUUCGAAGCAACGCGAAGAACCUUACCAGGUCUUGACAUCCUUUGCCACUUCUAGAGAUAGAAG
rnacentral:rRNA from 1 species